CUUUGUGGGAGGGCAAUAUUGUGGGGGAGGGCAUUAUGGUCAAUAUGAUAUGGCACAGACUUACAUUAAAUGCACCUGUUUAGAUCAGUGCAGUCUAAAACAGUCUGGAUACACUCUGUACAUGCGAAAUAUUAUUUUGGAGUCUGUAGAUUUUAUUGCUGUUGAAUUUCUACUGUGCUGUGUAUCAAACUGGUUAAAAGGCAUAUAUUCUGUGCCAUCAUGAAUUCACAGUGACGAGUCGUUCUAUUUCUAAUCAAAAUAUAUGAAUUAUUUAAAUGUAAUUAGUUAUUCAUACAGAAUUAUGCUACUUAAAUUUAUUUCUUCCUCUUUAGGCAUGGAGUAUAAGACUUCUGACCCGGUGCCCAGCAGAGGGACUUCCCAUUACAAUCUUGGCCGUGGACUUACUGGAUUGAUUUUUCUUUUUCUGAUUGCGAUUGGAGCACUGUGAUCUUCAGAGACUUUGGAUCUUCA